UACAGAGGGUGCAAGCGUUAAUCGGAAUUACUGGGCGUAAAGCGCGCGUAGGUGGAUAGAUAAGUUGGAUGUGAAAUCCCCGGGCUUAACCUGGGAAGGUCAUCCGAUACUGUUUAUCUAGAGUACAGUAGAGGGAAGUGGAAUUUCCGGUGUAGCGGUGAAAUGCGUAGAUAUCGGAAGGAACACCAGUGGCGAAGGCGGCUUCCUGGACUGAUACUGACACUGAGGCGCGAGAGCGUGGGGAGCGAACAGG
rnacentral:rRNA from 1 species